rnacentral:rRNA from 1 species
AUUGAACGCUGGCUGCAGGCCUAACACAUGCAAGUCGAACGAGUGGCGGACGGGUGAGUAAUGUCUGGGAAACUGCCCGAUGGAGGGGGAUAUCUACUGGAAACGGUAUCUAAUACCGCAUACCAUCUGAUGUGCCCAGAUGGGAUUAGCUAGUAGGUGGGGUAACGGUCCACCUAGGCGACGAUCCCUAGCUGUUCUUAGAGGAUGACCAGCCACACGGGAACUGCGACACGGUCCGGACUCCUAGGGGAGGCAGCAGUGGGGAAUAUUGCACGAUGGGCGCAAGCCUGAUGCGGCCAUGCGGCGUGUAUGAAGAAGGCCUUCGGGUUGUAAAGUACUUUCAGCGAGGAGGCGUUACUCGCAGAGGAAGCACCGGCUAACUCCGUGCCAGCAGCCGCGGUAAUAC